rnacentral:rRNA from 1 species
GGAGAAAUCCGGAUUAAUACCGCAUACGCCCUACGGGGGAAAACAGGGGAUCUUCGGACCUUGUGCAAUUGGAUGAGCCUGCGUUAGAUUAGCUAGUUGGUGGGGUAAAGGCCUACCAAGGCGACGAUCUAUAGCUGGUCUGAGAGGAUGAUCAGCCACAUCGGGACUGAGACACGGCCCGGACUCCUACGGGAGGCAGCAGUGGGGAAUAUUGGACAAUGGGCGCAAGCCUGAUCCAGCAAUGCCGCGUGUGUGAAGAAGGCCUUCGGGUUGUAAAGCACUUUCAAUUGUGAAGAAGGGGUUCGUGUUAAUAGCACGGAUCUUUGACGUUAACUUUAGAAGAAGCACCGGCUAACUCCGUGCCAGCAGCCGCGGUAAUACGGAGGGUGCAAGCGUUAAUCGGAAUUACUGGGCGUAAAGCGCGCGUAGGCGGUUGUUUAAGUCAGAUGUGAAAGCCCCGGGCUCAACCUGGGAAUGGCCUCUGAUACUGGAUAACUAGAGUUUGGGAGAGGGGAGUAGAAUUUCAGGUGUAGCGGUGAAAUGCAUAGAUAUCUGAAGGAAUACCAGUGGCGAAGGCGACUCCCUGGCCUAAAACUGACGCUGAGGUGCGAAAGCGUGGGUAGCAAACAGGAUUAGAUACCCUGGUAGUCCACGCUGUAAACGAUGUCAACUAGCCGUUGGGACUCUUGAAGUCUUAG